rnacentral:rRNA from 1 species
GAAAUAUAUCUACGUGUAGGUAUUUGCCUGUACUUUACGAAUAAGCACCGGCUAACUCCGUGCCAGCAGCCGCGGUAAUACGGAGGGUGGCAAGCGUUAUCCGGAUUUAUUGGGUUUAAAGGGUGCGUAGGCGGAUUUUUAAGUCAGUGGUGAAAUCCUGCAGCUUAACUGUAGAACUGCCAUUGAUACUGAAAGUCUUGAGUGCGGUUGAGGUAGGCGGAAUGUGUAGUGUAGCGGUGAAAUGCUUAGAUAUUACACAGAACACCGAUUGCGUAGGCAGCUUACUAAGCCGUAACUGACGCUGAUGCACGAAAGCGUGGGUAGCGAACAGGAUUAGAUACCCUGGUAG